UNUGACUUGAGUGCAGAAGGGGAGAGUGGAAUNCCACGUGUAGCGGUGAAAUGCGUAGAUAUAUGGAGGAACACCAGUGGCGAAAGCGGCUCUCUGGUCUGUCACUGACGCUGAGGCUCGAAAGCGUGGGUAGCGAACAGGAUUAGAUACCCUGGUAGUNCACGCCGUAAACGAUGAGUGCUAAGUGUUAGGCCCUUUCCGGGGCUUAGUGCCGGAGCUAACGCAAUAAGCACUCCGCCUAGGGAGUACGACCGCAAGGUUGAAACUCAAAGGAAUUGACGGGGGCCCGCACAAGCGGUGGAGCAUGUGGUUUAAUUCGAAGCAACGCGAAGAACCUUACCAGGUCUUGACAUCCCGAUGCUAUUCUUAGAGAUAGGAAGUUACUUCGGUACAUCGGAGACAGGUGGUGCAUGGUUGUCGUCAGCUCGUGUCGUGAGAUGUUGGGUUAAGUCCCGCAACGAGCGCAACCCUUAUUGUUAGUUGCCAUCAUUAAGUUGGGCACUCUAGCGAGACUGCCGGUAAUAAACCGGGGGAAGGUGGGGAUGACGUCAAAUCAUCAUGCCCCUUAUGACCUGGGCUACACACGUGCUACAAUGGUCGGUACAACGAGUUGCGAGCCGGUGACGGCAAGCUAAUCUCUGAAAGCCGAUCUCAGUUCGGAUUGGAGGCUGCAACUCGCCUCCAUGAAGUCGGAAUCGCUAGUAAUCGCGGAUCAGCACGCCGCGGUGAAUACGUUCCCGGGCCUUGUACACAC
rnacentral:rRNA from 1 species